CCUACGGGUGGCAGCAGUGAGGAAUAUUGGUCAAUGGGCGCGAGCCUGAACCAGCCAAGUCGCGUGAGGGAAGACGGUCCUAUGGAUUGUAAACCUCUUUUGUCGGGGAGCAAAAGACGCCACGCGUGGCGUUCCGAGAGUACCCGAAGAAAAAGCAUCGGCUAACUCCGUGCCAGCAGCCGCGGUAAUACGGAGGAUGCGAGCGUUAUCCGGAUUUAUGGGGUUUAAAGGGUGCGCAGGCGGAAGAGCAAGUUAGCGGGAAAGUUGAGAGGCUAAACCUCGUCGAGCCGUUGAAACUGGUUGUCUUGAGUGAGCGAGAGGUAUGCGGAAUGCGUGGUGUAGCGGUGAAAUGCAUAGAUAUCACGCAGAACUCCGAUUGCGAAGGCAGCAUACCGGCGCUCAACUGACGCUGAUGCACGAAAGUGUGGGUAUCGAACAGGAUUAGAUACCCCUGUAGUC
rnacentral:rRNA from 1 species